GCUGGGACGUGGGCGGAGGUGGUAAAGGGGUAAAGGCGGAGGAGGGAGUGUCUGCGAACAGGCAACACAUGCCUGGCGUGGUGCCUUGCAGCUGGCGGCGGGUGGGGCCGCCUGGCGGGCCGCUGCUUUCCCCUGUCCGCGGAGGCUGCGGACGGGAAACGAUCCGGGUGGGGAGCAUCCCUGCCCAGACCCCUUCCUCUGAAAGUCUGCGGGAUCCAGGGGCCGGGGGGCUUGCGACCUGAUAGUGGCCAUGAAGAACAGAAAGUUCACUUCACAAUCACUCCUUGCCUAGAUUUUUAUCUGGUAUGUGGAGCUCUUCCCCCAAACAGGUGGGCAAGGAAGAAGUGGAGGCCCCAGCAUCUUCUCCGCAGGCCUGCACCUGGAAGCAGGGGCAUAGAGAAGAGUGUGUCUGUGAUCUGCCAUGGAUUCCCAGGUCUGAUGUUUUGGUUUACCUUUCUGAAUUGGUUUUUUUUCUUCUAUAAGAUAGGGGUGUACAGGAAAGACAAAAACGCUAUUUUUUAAUUUUAAUUUUUAAAAAAAUACAAUUUAUUGUCACAUUGGCUAACAUACAGUGUGUAAAGUGUGCUCUUAGUUUUGGGGGUAGAUUCCUGUGGUUCAUCACUUACAUACAAUACCUAGUGCUCAUCCCAACAAAAAAAUGCUAUUUUAAAAAGCUGGUUGCUUUUUGAGUUGGAAUCUAAGGACAAUAGAAUUAGAGUCUUUUUCUUUCUUGGGGUGGGUUUUUUUUUUUUUUUUUUUUUUCAGUUUGGUCAAGGUAAAGGGCUAAUUGAGAUAGGAGUGCUUAGGACCUGGGGACUAAAAUUGCUCUGCAUAAAGAAAUAAGAACUUUUUGUUUUUAAUUGAGGCUGGAGGGAAAUUUUUUUAUUUUGCUUUUGUUUGGGCAGGAGUGGUGAGAGAGUGGGCCCUAGCAGUAGGGUAGACAUGAGAAGUUGCUCCUCCAGUGGCGAGAAGGAAGGGGGCGUGAGCUUUGAUGUCUGAUUGUCUAUUUUAAGUAGUUUCCUAUUCACCAUUAGAAUCUUUCUCUGGUAAAGAUAUGCUUGCAUGACACCCAGAUGUUCAUGUGUUUUGGAGACUGAAUAGAGAGGGCUGCAUCAGCAGUAGGGGUGAAGUGAAAUAGAAGGGAGAUGAUGAGAAUUGGGUUGCAGUUGGGGUUUAGGAUCAAAAGUAACAAGGAAUCAUUGGGCACUUUUUAGCACCCUCCCUAGGAUCCUUAAAAUCAUUAAGGAGAGGGCUGGGUCCCAACAGUUAUGUGAGAUCUGGUCUAAAAUAGGCACUUGAAUGUUAAAUGAAAGAUAGUAUACUUUGGGAGCAUGCAGAUGUCAGGGAGAAUAAUCUACUGACCAGGGUUGGAAGGUGUAAAUGUGGAUGUAGGUGAAGGCACUUCAUAAACUAGGGAAACACAUGCUCUUACACAAGAUAAAACCUCUUUCCAUGAAGAAUAUUUUGAAGUCAGAUUUGAAUUCAACACUGAUCAUGAAUAUAAGAAUAAUUAUCUGGAAGUCAUGAGCUAUGAUAGUUUUCUUUCUCUGUGAAGUCAGUUCAGACUGAUAGUUAAAACACAAUUUGGAUGUUAGAGAUACAAUUUGAAAAAAUGGCUCCAUAUGACCCAGUGUUUCAUGUUAAGAUGUGAGAUUUAGGAUCCCAUGGUAUAUCAGGCCCAUUUAGUGGGAACAGAAAGCAGCUUUGGUCACUUAAUAUUUAGCUGAGACUAUGGAUAGGUAUGAGAAAAAGGAAGUGAUGAUGUUGCAAAGCAACGGGAAAGAGCAUGUAUAGGAUAUAUAUACUAGACACUCAACAUAUAUUGUCUUUACUGCUCAUUCUUGUCCAAAGAAGUGGUGAUACGUCCAUUCUUUAGAUGGGGGUGGGGGAAAGGUGACAUUUACACUGAUGGGAGGAUUUGCUCCAAGUUAUAGCGCUGAAGUGGCAGAACUCCUGCAGACUGUCACCAAGGUCAAGGUCCUUGUUAUGUUCAUCUCACCAUGCUGCCAUGUGGGCUCUGAAUACAUCAGUGCUUAGCCUCCAAGCCUUGUGUGCUUCCAGACUCCUUGUCCCCGUUUCACACCAUAUCUCCAUUGUUUUUCUUCCUGAGAAUUUUUAAAGAAGGCUUCUGACAAGACUUGAUGAGAUGCUACAGCUGACAAGCAUGUGAAAAAGGAUGAAAUAACUUGAGGUCUGGAGUGAACAGUUACAUUCCUGGAUUGUUGAAAGGCCCAUUCUUUACAUGGGAUCAACCAUCUUUGGUGAGGCUGGGUGGAUGAUGCAGUUUCACUUCUAGGUGUUAGGAUUCUCUUUCACACUGGUUUGUCAUGACCUUAAAGUAUUUUAAGUUUCUCCUUUGCUUUGUGUUCACGCCCAAACUCCAAGGGUAGGAUCUACCACAUAGAGGGUGGAGUGGCAUUCCAAUUCCAUUUAUUUUCUGCUGAAGCUGGCACAUUGAAUGAAGAUUUAUAUCUUAAGUGACAGGAUUCAGACGAAACACGACAAACCUGUAAAAUCUGCAACGUGGACGUGUCAAUGCAGAACUUUCUGAUGAACUGGAUGGGACCAGGAAGACAAACCACACACACUGUCACGUUGUGCUGGGCAGCAUGACAGAUCAAAGAGAAUCCCAAGGAAGAGCAAGUCCUUGCUGGCUGCAGUGCACGUGGUGGGGGGUUCAGCACAGACUGCUGUUUGGUUUACGGAUUCAGGUGUGCGUCUAUCUUGGGCCUGCCUUUUUAAGGAAAAAUUUUGUGGAGAUACACUGCACUGACUGGAAAAUUAUUCACUUGUUUUUUAAUCAAAUUUAUCGAGUGGAAGCAUUGGUUAUGAAACUAGUCAUUUCACUAGACUUUAAUCCUGACCUAGUUGCCAACAAUGGGUGGUAAUUAUUCUUAUUUACCAAAGCACAGAGAGAAUCUGUGUUAAAAGAGCAACCCAGGCAGGCACUGCUUUGAGGAGGGAACAAGUUUUACCACCUUAGGAGAGAUGAAUUAGUUUUGUGAAACAUCUCUGAUUGUCUUGCUGAAGGGACUCCAACCACUGGACAUGAAUGGAAGCGUGCGGCAACUUUGUACUGCAGACAGCGAGUUAAAGCCCCCCGCCCCCCCACGCCCAGGAAAGCUCAGGAGUCAGGGGCCUCAGCGGAGCACACUCCUGACUUUACCACUGUGUGCCAUGGUGCUCCUGACAGCCUGGUUGGCCGUCACUCAUCUAGAAGAAUGAAUGAACCUCGUAUUAAGCGCUCCUCGCUGUUGGUUCAAGUAGAUCUCCUCAGAGUUCUCACUAAUCAGGUUCCCACCGUCUUUGACAGAUUUGAUUCCUGGACUCCCACAGAAGGAUUUCAGAGAAGUCUUUGAACAAAUGCAAGAGGCACAAACUUCACCUAACAACUGUUUACUGAAACAUGUGUAACUUCUGUGCCUGGCAUAGGGCUGAGUGCGGAGGGUCUGAAGCAAGACAGGUCCCUGCCCCCAAGGUGCUGUAGUGCACAGCCUGCAGUCACGGAGCAGGUCUCAGGGCAUGGUUCUUCACUUGUGAGGGACUCCAGAGCUGUGAGUGCCUAAUGAGAACCUGCUGAUCAAGUGAACGGGGCCGACCAGUAUCAGGAUGGCUGCUACUGGCAUCUGUGCAACUCGUCUCCACAGUGAAGAAGAUGAUGGACUCAGAUCCUCUUUGUUUUUGCUCUAUUUGUGCUUCUGUACAUGAGAUACCGGUAACCCUGGAGCAUGAAGGCCUUUCCCAAGGAGUACAUAAAGCCACAGACAGAAAAGAAUGCAUCUUUCUUAGAAUGUCCAUAUCAUUCAAUGAUGAAUUAUGGAAAAGACUUUUAUAUUGAACUCAAAAUAUGCCCUGUGACAUAACAUGAAAUUAAGUCAAAAUUUCAAAAUAAAAUCUAAGAUUUUAAA